CAAGCUGGCUGCAUCAGAGGGCAGCUUGGGGGGAGGGGGGAGCUUUGCCUGCUCAUCCUUGGCCAACAGCCUUUCCUCACAACAUCCCAGGACAGGAAGACCUGGGGGUGAGGCCCCCAACUCCACACCCACCCCCUCCCCCCGCCGUGGGCAAGAGCUUGGCUGGUGAGCCCCCGUGGUGCCCCGCCCCGUGCAUGCUCAGCCCCACUGCCCCGUCUCACCCAGCCUGUGACAGCGCAGGGAGGGCAGAGAAGGUGCUCGAGGGUGGGGCUGGGCGGCCCGAGGCAGGGCCAGCUCCUGCCCAGGUAUGGCCCACCCAUCCCAGGGAUUGGAGGGUGGGGCUGGACAAGCACGGACUCCACAGCUGAUCUGCCCGGAAAGAGGGUGCUCCUGCCCUGGCCUCUAAUUUCUGCUAGUGCUUUGGGACCUUGGCACAGAGCCUUACCCCACCCUGGCAAUCCUGAACCUUCCCCAGUUGGACAAGGAGGGGCCAAAGAAUCCCUGCUAGGAUCUCCCUGUUCCCACCUCCAGUGGGAGCAGGGCGUGGUGGGUGGGGGUGCUGUGCUGACAUUGUAGGGGGUUCGCCCCAGGUCCCCCUGCCACUCCACGCUCCAGGACAGCAGGGCUGCUGCUGGGGAAAUCCGUGGCCUUGCUGUGGAUCUGUGCCCCAGGAUUCCACAGGGCCCUCUGGGCUAGUUCACCAGCUCCUCACCAAGCGCCCAUUCCUCAUCAGCCGCCUGACCAACUCCUGACCAGGGGAGCGCAGAGGCAGGUGGCAUGGCCAGCCUGCCGUGUCACUGCAGCGGGUCACUGGCCGAGAAGAUGGAUCAGACCCGGGCCUCCCAGCAGGGCCACAGCAGUGCUGUCAGGAGGACAGCGCAGACACCAGGUUGUACUGGGAGAGCCCGGGAGGUGCCCAGGUGUCUCGGCUUUGGGAGAAGCCCAUGGCUCAGACCCUGCGCCCCCUCCCGGGUCUGGUGCAGGAGUCUCCCAGCCCGGGACACGCUGGGCGUUUGUGAGUGGAAGGCCUGAGUGCCGGGGAAGAAUCCUGCUUAGAGCUUCGACCUUGGAUGGAGACGGGAGAUGGGGGCACGUGCCUCCCUGAUGUGCACGCACCUCCGGCCUGGAAAGCUCUGGAACGAGCUGCGUCCUGGGUGGCAGUGCCCAAACCCUGGCUUCCUGUGACCCCCAGUGACCUCCCGUAAUCCCGCCCCCAUUCCUGGAGGCCUUCAGUGGCUCCUGGGGGCUGUCUGUUUCUAGAGCUCAAAACCUGGUUCCCGUUUCAAGAAUUUCCCACCUUUGCUUCCCUAACAGGCGUCUUUGGUGUCACUGUGAACACAGGUGUCACAGGUGCGCACACAGAGAGGGCUAUCAAUCAGUAGCCAAGUACGUGUCUGGCGCAGCUGCCUGGGAGCUCUGAAGUAAAUACAAUUUCAGGUUCAUGUCCGCGGACCAAACACUCUCCCUGCAGCUCCCUGCUAUGGCCUGGGAAAGCAGUGGAAGAUGGCCCAAGUGCUUGGGCCCUUGCAUCCAUAUCGGGGACCUGGAAGAAGAUCCUGGCUCCUGGCUCCGGACUGGCCCAGCCCUGGCCAUUGCAGCCAUCUGGGGAGUGGACCAGCAGAUGGAAGACCUGUCUCUCUGUCUCUUCCUUUCUAUAAU